CCGAGUUGUAAUUUGUAGAAGAUGCUUCGGGUGUGGCUCCGGUCUAAGUUCCUUGGAACAGGACGUCAUAGAGGGUGAGAAUCCCGUAUGUGACUGGGUGCCUACGCCCGUGUGAAGCUCUUUCGACGAGUCGAGUUGUUUGGGAAUGCAGCUCAAAAUGGGUGGUAAAUUUCAUCUAAAGCUAAAUACUGGCCAGAGACCGAUAGCGCACAAGUAGAGUGAUCGAAAGAUGAAAAGCACUUUGGAAAGAGAGUUAAACAGUACGUGAAAUUGUUGAAAGGGAAGCGCUUGCAAUCAGACUUGCGCCCGGGCGAUCAUCUGGGGUUCUCCCCAGGGCACUCGUCCGGGCUCAGGCCAGCAUCAGUUCUCGUGGUGGGAUAA
rnacentral:rRNA from 2 species